GAUCCUGGCUCAGGAUGAACGCUGGCGGCGUGCUUAACACAUGCAAGUCGAACGGAGUUAAACGCCGGAUUGAUACCAGCUUGCUGGAGGAUAUCCUUGUUUAACUUAGUGGCGGACGGGUGAGUAACGCGUGAGUAACCUGCCUCUGAGUGGGGAAUAACGUUCUGAAAAGGACGCUAAUACCGCAUAAUAUACGAAAGCCGCAUGGCUAUUGUAUCAAAGAUUUAUCGCUCAGAGAUGGACUCGCGUCCGAUUAGCCAGUUGGCGGGGUAACGGCCCACCAAAGCGACGAUCGGUAGCCGGACUGAGAGGUUGAACGGCCACAUUGGGACUGAGACACGGCCCAGACUCCUACGGGAGGCAGCAGUGGGGGAUAUUGCGCAAUGGGGGAAACCCUGACGCAGCAACGCCGCGUGGAGGAUGACGGUUUUCGGAUUGUAAACUCCUUUUAUAAGGGACGAACUAAGACGGUACCUUAUGAAUAAGCUCCGGCUAACUACGUGCC
rnacentral:rRNA from 1 species